rnacentral:rRNA from 1 species
GACGAACGCUGGCGGCGUGCUUAACACAUGCGAGUCGAACGGAAAGGCCCUGCUUUUGUGGGGUGCUCGAGUGGCGAACGGGUGAGUAACACGUGAGUAACCUGCCCUUGACUUUGGGAUAACUUCAGGAAACUGGGGCUAAUACCGGAUAGGAGCUCAUGCUGCAUGGUGGGGGUUGGAAAGUUUCGGCGGGUGGGGAUGGACUCGCGGCUUAUCAGCUUGUUGGUGGGGUAGUGGCUUACCAAGGCUUUGACGGGUAGCCGGCCUGAGAGGGUGACCGGCCACAUUGGGACUGAGAUACGGCCCAGACUCCUACGGGAGGCAGCAGUGGGGAAUAUUGCACAAUGGGCGGAAGCCUGAUGCAGCAACGCCGCGUGCGGGAUGACGGCCUUCGGGUUGUAAACCGCUUUCGCCUGUGACGAAGCGUGAGUGACGGUAAUGGGUAAAGAAGCACCGGCUAACUUCGUG